rnacentral:rRNA from 1 species
UACGUAGGGUGCGAGCGUUACUCGGAAUUACUGGGCGUAAAGCGUGCGCAGGCGGUUUUGUAAGCCAGAUGUGAAAGCCCCGGGCUUAACCUGGGAAUGGCAUUUGGGACUGCAAGGCUUGAGUGCGGCAGAGGAGACUGGAAUUCCUGGUGUAGCAGUGAAAUGCGUAGAUAUCAGGAGGAACCCCGGUGGCGAAGGCGGGUCUCUGGGCCGAAACUGACGCUGAGGAGCGAAAGCAUGGGGAGCGAACAGG